GGACUGGGGACCUGGAAGAGAGAAGAUAUAAGGCAACUUCAAGGAAGAAGAUGCUUGCGCGGAAGAAGCCACCUGAGAAGCAUCAGUAGAACCCUGCAAAGCAGAAAGCUGCUUGAAAAGCAGCCAUUACAGCAGCAGCAGCAGCAGCAGCAGCCCACCCAGAGUUCCAAUGUUGCCCUGGGCAAUGGCCAUUUCUGCUGUCCAGCCAGCAGGAGGUCACCACAGCAGCUACCAAGCAGGCUUCUGUCUCUCCCACCUGAGGAGCUGCUUUUACCUCAGGAGCAGGCAGCCGCACAACACCGCAGCCAGCAGCAGCCACGAUCAUUGAGGACAAUGCUUCCAACCAUAUUUGACAAAGCAGAAGGACCUUUAGACAGUCUCAGAGGGAAUUAAAAGGAAGCUUUUUAUGACAAAGGGCUCAGAGGUAGAGCCAUUGCACAGGAUGGAGGCAAUCAUCUGGUCAUGGAGGAGUCUUACAACCCAACAAGGAAGACCUACAUUGACAAAGAAGAACUGAAAAAUGUAGAACACUUUGCCUAUCUUGGCAGCCAACUUUCAUAGAGAGCAGACAUAGACAUUGAGAUUCAGCACAGAAUUUGCUGUGCCAGCCUUGCCUUUGGCAGACUUUCUCACCGGGUAUUCAACAAUCACAACACUAGAACACAUACUAGACAAGAGGUGGGCAAACUGUGGCCCACCGGAUGUUUUUAUCCAGACCUCAAGCUCCGGCCGUGGGAGCGGGGCCAGGGGCUUGCUGCGCUCCGCCCAGCGCUCCGGCCUGGGGAGCGGAGCCGGGGGCUUGCCGCACUCUGGCCUGGGGAGCGGGGCCAGGGGCUUCCCACGCUCCAGCCAGGGGAGCGGGACCAGGGGCUUGCCGUGCUCCACCCGGUGCUCUGGCCUGGGGGCGGGGCCGGGGACUUGCCGCACUCCAGCCGGGGGACCGGGACUGGGGCCUUGCCACUCCGCCCAGCACUCUGGCCGGGGAGAGGGGCCAGGGGCUUGCCGCGCUCCAGCCGGGGGAGAGGGCCAGGGGUUUGCUGCGCGCUGCCCAGCGCUCCCAGUCCCCGCCUCAGUGAUGAGCAGUUCAUUUUGAGCACCAUCUUCCGGGAAGAUUCUUCUGGCACGCAAAACGCUACAUUGCACAGGUAUGACUUCACCACCCCUAUGCAGCAGUGUGCCAAAUCCCCUCCCGGUUUCCUAUGGCCCCACCGUAGAAAGUCUUGCAUGGGGGGAAACCACCCAGGGGUCGCAGCUGCUCCCAUCCUAGGUGCCUCUGCACGUGGCUCAGCUGGCUUGGUGUCACACUGCCAGCAGGGCCCCUAGGAGUCCCUGGUACCUCCCUGUGGAGCCCCUCCCACCAUGCACCACACCUCAUGAGUCCUCUUGCCACUUGCAGUAACAUCCCUUACUAUAUACAAACUUUUAAUGAACACAAAAGUGCAAACAGAACUCAAAGUACAACAGUAAGAACAUUUUGGUGGGGAGGCAUAAAGUUACAGGUGAGUUUACAUCUGCCUCUUCUUCUCCACAUAAGUCCUGGGAUAGAUAGAGUGCCAUUUCAGGCGCAAACUGAUGCCCGACAAAUCCAGGCUAGAGCGAGGGCCCAGUUUUUUCACAGUGCAUGCCAUCUUGUAAACAGCAGUUUGAAAUAAGGGCAACAGUUAGGAUUUUCUUUUCCCUUCCAAAAAUGAGUGCUGCAAAAAAAAAAAAAAAAAAAGAAAAGUGGACAGAGAGUGUUGGGUUUUCAAAAAAGAAUGGAAAGCAAAAUAUUUUUUCACAAACAUGAACUCGAAGGCUCUAUGCCUGAUUUGUCAGGAGAGCAUUGCGGUGUUCAAGGAGUACAAUUUGAAUAGCCAUUUUUCAACGAAACACCCUAAUUAUGGCAGCAAUUUAACAACUGAGGAAAGGGCAAGAAAAGCUGAGAAACUCACCAUGAAUUUAAAAACUCAGCAAAAUAUUUAUGUGCAACAAGCUGCAGUUCAGGCAGCCACUAUAAAGGCAAGUUACGUUCUGGUGUUUAAAAUCGUUAAACAAAAUAAGCCUUUUGCUGAAGGGGAGUUUUUGAAAGAAUGCAUGGUUGAUGUUUCUGGCGCGCUGUGCCUGGAAUACCAAAACAAAUUUGAGAACAUAUAGUUUGCCACGAAGAACUGUUACUCGCUGUGUAGAAGUGAUUGAUGAACAUUUGGCUUCUAAGUUGAACAAGAAAGCACAGGGCUUUCUAUUGUUUUCAUUAGCUCUCGAUGACAGCACUAACAAUAAGGACACAGCACAGUCACUGUUCCCUCUAAGCUGUGCGCAUGUGCGUGCACACACAGAUCCUAAACCCCACACACACGGCGAAACACCGCGCGCACAAAAAAUGAAAUACCACAUCGGAGACAGGCCGAAAUAUCAUUUACGGGCGACUUUUGACAUUGUUCGCCCGCCAUCUAUCAACACAGCCAGAUUCUACUAGCUGGCAAGUGGGGGAAAGAGAAAGGAGGGCAAUGAAUUGUACCCCUCCUCGCCAGCAUUUCAAACGUGGAACGUUGAUCACAUCAGGAUGGUCCAGACCCACACAUCUCCAUUUCCUGUGUUUUUUUGCAGCAGAUGCAUGGACAUGAUCGGAGCUAUGCACAAACUUCCAGUAUCCUGAUCUGAAUGAUCUCCCAUUUGCCCUUUUGUCGAGUCAUGCUGUUAAGCGCAUUGAAAUAGUAGCCAUAUAAUAAAAGUAUUAAUUUUAAAUAAACCAAUCUGGUAA